CCUCCCGUAAUUACUGAGAGGCCCCCCCAAAAGAACCCCCCACGAGCCCGCGCUUAACAAUCGCCCUUGUGUCCAAGCCAGCCCGCGGUUAAUUCCAGCUCCCAAUAGCCGUUAUAUUUAAAAGUUGUUUGCCGUUAAAAAAGCUCGUAGUUUGGAUUCUCCGGCCGGCCAGGGGUGGUUCGCUCUUCAGCGCUACUGCCCCGCUUUGCCCGUGUGAUUGGCGGAGGUUUCGGGGUGCUCUUCGUUGAGUGACUCGGAGCGCCGUCAGGUUUACUUUGAAAAAAUUAGAGUGCUCAAAGCAGGCUUUUCACGCUUGAAUAUUCGUGCAUGGAAUAAUGGAAUAGGAACUCGUUUCUAUUUUGUUGGUUUUCGGAAAUCGAGUUAAUGAUUAACAGGGACAAUUGGGGGCAUUAGUAUUCAGACGACAGAGGUGAAAUUCUUGGACCGUCUGAAGACUGACUACUGCGAAAGCAUUUGCCAAGAGUGUUUUCAUUAAUCAAGAACGAAAGUUAGAGGUUCGAAGGCGAUCAGAUACCGCCCUAGUUCUAACCAUAAACGAUGCCAGCUAGCGAUCUGCCGAGUUUUUUUUGUAGGCUCCGCAGGAAGCUUUCGGGAAACCAAAGCUUUUGGGUUCCGGGGGAAGUAUGGUUGCAAAGCUGAAACUUAAAGGAAUUGACGGAAGGGCACCACCAGGAGUGGAGCCUGCGGCUUAAUUUGACUCAACACGGGAAAUCUCACCAGGCCCGGACACUGGAAGGAUUGACAGAUUGAGAGCUCUUUCUCGAUUCGGUGGGUGGUGGUGCAUGGCCGUUCUUAGUUGGUGGAGUGAUUUGUCUGGUUAAUUCCGAUAACGAACGAGACUCUGUCCUGCUAAAUAGUUGGGUCGUCCUUCGUGCGAUCCAAGUUCUUCUUAGAGGGACUGGCUGCGUCUAGCAGCACGAGAUUGAGCAAUAACAGGUCUG
rnacentral:rRNA from 1 species